rnacentral:rRNA from 1 species
AGAGCGAACGCUGGCGGCAGGCUUAACACAUGCAAGUCGAGCGGCCGUAGCAAUACGGCAGCGGCAGACGGGAGAGUAACACGUGGGAACGCGCCCUUCGGUUCGGAAUAACUCAGGGAAACUUGGGCUAAUACCGGAUACGCCCUUACGGGGAAAGAUUUAUUGCCGAAGGAACGGCCCGCGUCCGAUUAGCUUGUUGGUGAGGUAACGGCUCACCAAGGCGACGAUCGGUAGCUGGUCUGAGAGGAUGACCAGCCUCACUGGGACUGAGACACGGCCCAGACUCCUACGGGAGGCAGCAGUGGGGAAUAUUGGACAAUGGGCGCAAGCCUGAUCCAGCCAUGCCGCGUGGGUGAUGAAGGCCCUAGGGUUGUAAAGCCCUUUCGGCGGGGAAGAUAAUGACGGUACCCGCAGAAGAAGCCCGGCUAACUUCGCGCCAGCAGCCGC